CGGGCUUAAUGGCGCCGCCGACCGUGUCUCAAUCGGCCACGAAGGAAACCUCCAUGGCAGUUCAGGCCCGCAAUGGGGCUUAAAAAGCAGGGAGGGCUGUCACGAAAUGUUGGGCUUCCGGAAGUAGUGUGUGCGCCGUAACGACCUAGUCCGAAAGCGGGUAACAGGUUAUAAGGGGUGACGACGGAGGGCAUCCUCAGGCCUGGCACAGAGUCAAGGCCACACCGACUAGCAGGAGAGUCUGGUCGAUGCCUAGCAACGAACCAUCCGGCAAUGGGAUGGUUGAUCGAUUAGGCUGAACCCGAGUAGGUUAUCGCGCUCCAGGCUUCUAGGGGGCGAAAGAGGGCAUCCUGCAUACGCCAUAAUCGUGCCGAAAGCGGCACAACAG
rnacentral:rRNA from 1 species